GACGAACGCUGGCGGUGUGCUUAACACAUGCAAGUCGAACGGUAAGGCCCUUUCGGGGGUACACGAGUGGCGAACGGGUGAGUAACACGUGAGUAACCUGCCCUCAUCUCUGGGAUAACAGUCGGAAACGGUUGCUAAUACUGGAUAUGAGCUUGCAAGGCAUCUUGUGGGUUGGAAAGAUUUUUUUGGUUGGGGAUGGACUAGCGGCCUAUCAGCUUGUUGGUGAGGUAGUGGCUCACCAAGGCUUCGACGGGUAGCCGGCCUGAGAGGGCGACCGGCCACAUUGGGACUGAGAUACGGCCCAAACUCCUACGGGAGGCAGCAGUGGGGAAUAUUGCACAAUGGACGGAAGUCUGAUGCAGCAACGCCGCGGGCGGGAUGACGGCCUUCGGGUUGGAAACCGCUUUCAAUUGUGACGAAGCUUUUUGUGACGGUAGCAGUAGAAGAAGCACCGGCUAACUACGUG
rnacentral:rRNA from 1 species